rnacentral:rRNA from 1 species
AACGAACGCUGGCGGCAUGCCUAACACAUGCAAGUCGAACGAGACCUUCGGGUCUUGUUGCGCACGGGUGCGUCACGCGAGGGAACCUUCCCUUAGGUUCGGACUACCUCUCCGAAAGGGGUGCUAAUACCGGAUAAUUUCUUCGGACCCAUGAUGUAUCGCCUUGGGAUGUUCCAGCGUGGAAUUAGCUAGUGGGUAGCGUAAAAGCCUACCCAGGCGAAGAUGCAUAGCUGGUCUGAGAGGAUGGUCAACCACACUGGGGGUGUGACACGGCCCAGACUCCUAGGGAAGGAAGCAAGGGGGAAUGUGGAACGACGGGCGAAAGAAUGAGGCUGCAAGGCCGCAUGAGUGAUGAAGUCGUGAAGGAUGUAAAGCUCUGUUAACAGGGAUGAUAAUGACGGUACCGGGAGAAUAAGCGACGGCUAACUCCGUG